CUACCUUGCAAUUGGCAAAGAAUCACCUUGUUGGUAGUGUUGUUCAUACAAUCAGAGGCAGAACCCGUGGCAAUCCCUUGUUCAUCCUAGCUUGAUGUGUGGCUUGGUGGCCAAAGCUGUUUUAUGCCUAGGACACACCC